rnacentral:rRNA from 1 species
UGCCAGCCGCCGCGGUAAUACGGAGGGUGCAAGCGUUAAUCGGAAUUACUGGGCGUGAAGCGCGCGUAGGUGGUUUGGUAAGUCGGGUGUGAAAGCCCCGGGCUCAACCUGGGAACUGCAUUCGAUACUGCCUGACUAGAGUGUGGUAGAGGGAAGUGGAAUUCCGCAUGUAGCGGUGAAAUGCGUAGAGAUGCGGAGGAACACCAAUGGCGAAGGCAACUUCCUGGACCAACACUGACACUGAGGUGCGAAAGCGUGGGUAGCAAACAGGAUUAGAUA